CAGCACCAGGGAGCUGGAGAAAUUCCCCGUAGUGUGCUGGUGAAUAAUCGGAGCAGGGAAGCGGGAUUCCUUCACCGGUUGCCAUGACAACGCAGCGUAAAGCACUUCCUGUCUAUGAGCAACACUCAGGAUGUGAUUGUGUGCAGAUGAGGCAGGGAGGCUCUCUGACACCGGGCUCCACAGAGAGGAGGAGGACGGACACACACACCUUCAGGAGGAGCACAAGGAGGAGAGACAUUCAGCUGUGUUGACACAAGAUAUUAUAUGAUACUUCCAGGUGUGUGUGUGUGUGUUUUUCUCAGCUGCGCUCAGCAGGAGGAAGAUCAGAACACCGGGAAAUGCCUUGAUCGUCGCUGCUUGAUUUGAACCAUUUAUAUCAACAGCGUAACGUCCUCUUUCGCUGUCCUGACCAUGACGGAGCGUCAGGGUGCGAGUCAAUGCUGUAUUGUUGAAGGAUGCGGAGGUGGUGUUGUCAUCCUGUCAGUUAGCUUCCUGGCAUUCUUGAGGAGUCAUCCCACAAAAUCAUAGAUUACAUACCGGCUGAAGUGUGGGAAUUAUCAGUUUGGAAAUAAAAAAAAGUGAUUUUGCUAAUUAAAAAGUCUUUUUUUUCGGUUCAAAAGUAAAAAAAAAAAA